GUAGGUGACCUGCGGAAGGAUCAUUAAACGCAAUCCAAACCUACUCAACCAAGCCAAUCAGUUGUGGACUCGUCCACAGCCAAAAACCUAUCCAAAAGAAGCUUAACUAAGCUACUAAAAAACAAAUCCUCAACGAUGGAUAUCUAGGUUUCGAGAACGAUGAAGAACGCAGCGAAGUGCGAUAAGCAAUGCGAAUUGCAGAACCGUGAGUCAUCAGAUUUUUGAACGCAACUGGCACCUUAGUUCUGCUAAGGUAUGCUUGUAUCAGUGUGUCUUUAUCUCCUCACCCAAAUCAUAAUGCGACAGAUGCCCUUCUGACGCUAAAUGCGGAAGCACUCUGCUACUCGCAGUGACUUUCGGGUCACACUCACUGCAGACGUCACAUUUUUUAAUGUGAACUCAGUGAUGGCGAGUGCAGCGCAGUCUCGGCUGCAAGUGCUUGGAGACCUCAAUUUUCCCAACACCUGAUGCAAGUAGGAGUACCCCCUGAACUUAAGCAUAUCAUUA
rnacentral:rRNA from 1 species